rnacentral:rRNA from 1 species
AACGAACGCUGGCGGCAUGCUUAACACAUGCAAGUCGAACGAGACCUUCGGGUCUAGUGGCGAACGGGUGCGUAACGCGUGGGAACCUGCCAUUAGGUUCGGAAUAACUCCCCGAAAGGGGUGCUAAUACCGGAUAAUGUCUUCGGACCAAAGAUUUAUCGCCUUUGGAUGGGCCCGCGUUGGUUUAGGUAGUUGGUAGGGUAAAAGCCUACCAAGGCGACGAUCCGGAGCUGGUCGGAGAGGAUGAUCAGCCGCACUGGGACUGAGACACGGCCCAGACGGCUGCGGGAGGCAGCAGUGGUGAAUAUUGGACAGUGGGCGAAAGCCUGAACCAGCAAUGCCGGGUGAGUGAUGAAGGGCUUAGAGUUGUAAUGCUCUUUUACCCAGGAUGAUAAGAACGGAACCGGGAGAAUAGGCUCCGGCUAACUCCGU